rnacentral:lncRNA from 14 species
CUCACUCUCCUGCUCAUCCUGGAGGACAGGCUGCAUCGGCAGCUGAGCUACGACCUGCUGCCCACUGAUAACUCCAAGGACUUGGCCACGGAGCUGGUGCAUUAUGGAUUCAUCCAUGAGGAUGACUGUGAGAAGCUGGCAAACUUCCUGGAAAACGCCUUCCACAAGUACCGCUCUCCUCUGCUGUGAGCGGCCAUCAGAUGGACACAGGAGGGCUGCUGCAGUCCCCGGGUGUGCGCCUGAGCUGCCUGUGAUCACAGCCAGUGGAGGAGUCACCAGCACACCGAGUCACCCGUGCGUCAGGAGAGCUCGGGACCAAGCAGGAAUCAUGGUCCCUGCUCCUGAAGCAGCGAAGCCAAAGGGAGUUGUGAGGUCUCAGAGCUAUCUCCUUCCUCUUUGCUGGCUGGGAGCACUUGGAGAAGGGAGGAGAGGGACAGGCUUGGAAAGCUCAGGCACAGUUUCCCAUCUGCUACAUUCCAUUCUUUAUACCCAGAUCUCCCAGUUUAUUCAGGCUUUCCCAGCACUGUGAUGCCUGGUAGAAGAAUUGCAGCCCUUGGUGUAAGCCAAAGAGAGGACUCUGUGAGCUGGACUUGAGCUGGCAUCUGAAGAAGGUCCAGGAAUCCAAACCCAUCAGUUGGAUCAGCAGAAGCCUCACUGGUGCUAACAUCACCUUUAUCAUUCCCCAGUUUGUCUUAUGGCCUUCCAAAGUCUCAUGGCACCUUAAGGGGAAAACCCCUGAUGGCUCUUCCUUCCCUGUGUCUCCUGUGGUGGUUGGAACUUCAGUCAUUACCCUGGAGAAAGGGGUGACCACCUCAGCUGCUGCAUACAGUUGGUGGUUUGUGUUUCAGAAGCCAUGCAGUGCUGCUCCAUUGCUCUAUGCUGCUCACGCUGUGCCAUGUGAAACCAGCUCUAUCCUGUUGCGGGUGUUGUGCCCAUGCUGGUGCUGUGCCCGUGCCAGUGCUGUGCCUGUGCUGGUGUUGUGCCCGUGCUGGUGUUGUGCCCAUGCUGGUCCUGUACCCGUGCGGGUGUUGUGCUCUUGCUGGUGCUGUGCCUGUGCGGGUGUUGUGCCCCUGCUGCUGCUGUGCCUUUGCCAGUCUUGUGCAGAUGCUGGUGCUGUGCCCAUGUGGGUGUUGUGCCCGUGCUGGUGCAUGUGCUGGUGCUGUGCCCAUGCCGGUGCUGUGCCCAUGAUGGUGCUGUGCCUGUGCUGGGUCUGCCCUGCGCUGCCUGCACUUUGUGGUGUGGCACCAGCUCUGUGGGCUGGCUCUGCUGUGCCAGGACAUGAUGCUGAGCUGCUGACCCUUGCUGUGCUGUGCCACCAUCACAAGCUGACGAAUCAAUAAAGCCUCAAAGCAGCUCA